UACAGAGGUCCCAAGCGUUGUUCGGAUUCACUGGGCGUAAAGGGUGCGUAGGCGGUCGGGUAAGUCUGAUGUGAAAUCUCACAGCUUAACUGUGAAACUGCAUUGGAUACUAUCCGGCUCGAGGAAUGGAGGGGAGACUGGAAUACUUGGUGUAGCAGUGAAAUGCGUAGAUAUCAAGUGGAACACCAGUGGCGAAGGCGAGUCUCUGGACAUUUCCUGACGCUGAGGCACGAAGGUCAGGGGAGCAAACGGG
rnacentral:rRNA from 1 species